UGUGGUUAUUACAGCAAAGAGGAUACACCUGUUCCCAUUCCGAACACAGAAGUUAAGCUCUUUAGCGCCGAUGGUACUUGGUGGGAAGCUGCCUGGGAGAGUAGGACGUAGCCGCGU
rnacentral:rRNA from 2 species